rnacentral:rRNA from 1 species
AAUGAACGUUGGCGGCGUGGAUUAGGCAUGCAAGUCGAGGGAGAACCCGCAAGGGGGACACCGGCGAACGGGGUAGGAAUACGUAGGUAACGUACCCUCAGGACGGGGAUAGCCACGGGAAACUGUGGGUAAUACCCGAUGAUCUGGCCGGGAUCAAUUUCCUGGUCAGCAAAGGUGAGAUUCCACCUGAGGAGCGGCUUACGCGAUAUUAGCUUGUUGGGGAGGUAACGGCUCACCAAGGCGACGAUAUCUAGGGGGUGUGAGAGCAUGGCCCCCACCACUGGGACUGAGAUACUGCCCAGACACCUACGGGUGGCUGCAGUCGAGAAUCUUCGGCAAUGGGCGAAAGCCUGACCGAGCGACGCCGCGUGCGGGAUGAAGGUCUUCGGAUUGUAAACCGCUGUCGGGAGGGAUGAAGUGCACGGGGGCAAUCCCCUGUGUUUGACAGAGCUCCGGAGGAAGCACGGGCUAAGUUCGUGCCAGCCGCCGCCGUAACAC